GAUGAACGCUGGCGGCGUGCCUAAUACAUGCAAGUCGAGCGAACGGACGAGAAGCUUGCUUUUCUGAUGUUAGCGGCGGACGGGUGAGUAACACGUGUAUAACCUCCCUAUAAGACUGGGGUAACUUCGGGAAACCGGAGCUAAUACCGGAUAAUAUUCUGAACCGUAUGGUUCAAAGGUGAAAGACGGUCUUGCUGUCACUUAUAGAUGGAUCCGCGCUGCAUUAGCUAGUUGGUAAGGUAACGGCUUAUCAAGGCAACGAUGCAUAGCCGACCUGAUAGGCGGAUCGGCCGCACUAGAGCGUGGACACGGACCUGGGUCCUGCGAGAGGCAGCAGAAUGGAAUCGUCCGCAGUGGUCGGAAGUAUUACGGAGCGACGCGGCGUGAGUGGUGAAGGUCUUCGGUUCGUAAAACUCUGUUAUGAGUGAAGAACAGCUUUGGAAGUAGCUGUGGAGAUCGUGACGGUACCUAAUCAGAAAGCCCCGGCUAACUACGUG
rnacentral:rRNA from 1 species